UACAGAGGGGGCAAGCGUUGUUCGGAAUUAUUGGGCGUAAAGGGUGCGUAGGCGGUGCGGUAAGUCCUCUGUGAAAUCUCCGGGCUCAACUCGGAGCCUGCAGGAGAAACUGCCGUGCUUGAGUAUGGGAGAGGUGAGUGGAAUUCCUGGUGUAGCGGUGAAAUGCGUAGAUAUCAGGAGGAACACCUGUGGCGAAAGCGGCUCACUGGACCAUAACUGACGCUGAGGCACGAAAGCUAGGGGAGCAAACAGG
rnacentral:rRNA from 1 species